AGUAAGGGUACCUUUCUUGGCUAAUCCCUUUCGCUUUAUGGCGUGCUCGUUUGGGUUGGGCGUCGGCUAAGAGUGCUCGGAGCGUAGAUUAACUCCAGUCUCCAAUUAGGUAAUCCCUAAGCUUAUAUGGUUUAGAGCUGCGAGGGACUCGGAGAUGGCCACAGUACUGGUUAUGUUUCUUUUAAUUGCAAUAAGUAGCUGAUUUAUUUCUUUAUAAGUAUUAUCUUAAUUAAUAUUAUUAUUUGGUUUUGGGUUGUAAUAAGGCCAUUUUAAUUAUUUUUCUGGGAUUAUUUUAUUUUAUACCCUAUAUUUUACUGAUAACAAUCCAAAAUGGGUUAGACUUAGGACGCGUUUCCAAAAUGAUAAUUGUUUUCAAGAUAACACAAUGAUACAAUUAAUCAGUUUAUCAAAAA